rnacentral:lncRNA from 1 species
AUCCAACGGCUCAUAUUAAUUACUCUCUCUGAUCUUAAAUUCUUGACUCAAAUUUGUCCAAAUAUGGAUGUAUCUAUUGCAUGGAAGGGAGUACUAUCUAAUGGCUCGCAUCUUCUUCUUCCCCAUCGUUCAGAUGUUGCGACUCGAUGAGGCUCCUGCAGCUUGGCCGGCGAACGGCACUCGGGUAGCGCUGAUCCUCUCUGCUUGCAGGAGAGUUCCUACACAUGGCGACGGAAGUCUUGCACAAAUUGAAGUAAUUUUGUACUGCAAUACAAAUUGAAGUUACUAUGAUAUACCCAGACAAGACUAAUUAAGUUGCAAUUCUUGGAAUUCGAACGCACGGGCAUAUAUCUUCGACUCUAUCUUUUUGUAAUUUGUUUCGUCGUUCCGAACGCACUGGCAUUUCGGCUAGUUAUUAGUUCCUAAGUCUAAUCUAUCUGUUCUAACCGACUUGCAACUGAUCCGAGGUUCGCCUUGCAUCGCCGGACGGCGGCCGCCAUCGUCCUGGCGCUGGCGGCGGCGAGGGGUUUCGUUUCUUGUCCGCCCUCUGGGUCGGGGCUUAUUGCGCUACACUGUUGGGCCUGGUCCGUUUCUUCUUUUGCUUAUUCCCAGCGUCUGUUUUUUUUUUUUCAUUUGGAUUCAUAUGCAGAGAUGUUUGUCCCCAAACGGCGGUGACGGCAGGGCUCGCCGGCGGCGGCCUGCGUGACGGGGCUGGCGCGCUACGGGGAAAAGAGAGAGAGGAGGGAAAGGGGCUCAAGUCGGGAUUGAGGGGUUCGACGGCCGAUGGAGAGCGGCGGCGCAGUGGAGAUGGCGGGGAAGACGGGCCACCGGAGUCGCCUGAGCUGAGGAAGACAGCGGCGGCUCCGGGCCGUCGGGCGCCGAGCGGCGUUCCGAGAGUCUCUCCGCGUGCGCGCCAGCACGAGGAGACGGUGGGCGGCGGGAGCUAUACGGAUACGUCUCUGGAGAAGACGGCGGACGUGGAGUCGGCCGGCGGUGGAUUUCGUCGCGGGGCGGCCGGGGCUCGCGAGAAUCAAAGCCGAUGGCAGCAGCGGCGCUGCCACCGGUGACGGGGAAGAAGAGCACGGCUAGGCGGCCACGGCACGCGCGGCGCCCAGGCGUGCUGCGCAGAGGGUGCGGAGCGGCGUCGCUAUCCGCGGGG